CCUACGGGGGGCAGCAGUGGGGGAUAUUGCACAAUGGGGGAAACCCUGAUGCAGCGACGCCGCGUGUGGGAAGACGGUCCUCUGGAUUGUAAACCACUGUCCCCAGGGACGAAGAUGACGGUACCUGGGGAGGAAGCUCCGGCUAACUACGGGCCAGCAGCCGCGGUAAUACGUAGGGAGCGAGCGUUGUCCGGAAUUACUGGGUGAAAAGGGAGCGUAGGCGGGACUGCAAGUAGGGUGUCAAAUCUACCGGCUCAACCGGUAGCCGCACUCAAAACUGCAGUUCUUGAGUGAAGUAGAGGCAGGCGGAAUUCCUAGUGUAGCGGUGAAAUGCGUAGAUAUUAGGAGGAACACCAGUGGCGAAGGCGGCCUGCUGGGCUUUUACUGACGCUGAGGCUCGAAAGUGUGGGGAGCAAACAGGAUUAGAUACCCCGGUAGUC
rnacentral:rRNA from 1 species